GCCUAAUACAUGCAAGUCGAGCGAACGGACGAGAAGCUUGCUUCUCUGAUGUUAGCGGCGGACGGGUGAGUAACACGUGGAUAACCUACCUAUAAGACUGGGAUAACUUCGGGAAACCGGAGCUAAUACCGGAUAAUAUUUUGAACCGCAUGGUUCAAAAGUGAAAGACGGUCUUGCUGUCACUUAUAGAUGGAUCCGCGCUGCAUUAGCUAGUUGGUAAGGUAACGGCUUACCAAGGCAACGAUGCAUAGCCGACCUGAGAGGGUGAUCGGCCACACUGGAACUGAGGCACGGUCCAGACUCCUACGGGAGGCAGCAGUAGGGAAUCUUCCGCAAUGGGCGAAAGCCUGACGGAGCAACGCCGCGUGAGUGAUGAAGGUCUUCGGAUCGUAAAACUCUGUUAUUAGGGAAGAACAUAUGUGUAAGUAACUGUGCACAUCUUGACGGUACCUAAUCAGAAAGCCACGGCUAACUACGUGCCAGCAGCCGCGGUAAUACGUAGGUGGCAAGCGUUAUCCGGAAUUAUUGGGCGUAAAGCGCGCGUAGGCGGUUUUUUAAGUCUGAUGUGAAAGCCCACGGCUCAACCGUGGAGGGUCAUUGGAAACUGGAAAACUUGAGUGCAGAAGAGGAAAGUGGAAUUCCAUGUGUAGCGGUGAAAUGCGCAGAGAUAUGGAGGAACACCAGGGCGAAGGCGACUUUCUGGUCUGU
rnacentral:rRNA from 1 species